rnacentral:rRNA from 1 species
GACGAACGCUGGCGGCGUGCUUAACACAUGCAAGUCGAACGGAAAGGCCCUGCUUUUGUGGGGUGCUCGAGUGGCGAACGGGUGAGUAACACGUGAGUAACCUGCCCUUGACUUUGGGAUAACUUCAGGAAACUGGGGCUAAUACCGGAUAGGAGCUCCUGCUGCAUGGGGGGAUUGGAAAGUUUCGGCGGUUGGGGAUGGACUCGCGGCUUAUCAGCUUGUUGGUGGGGUAGUGGCUUACCAAGGCUUUGACGGGUAGCCGGCCUGAGAGGGUGACCUGCCACAUUGGGACUGAGAUACGGCCCAGACUCCUACGGGAGGCAGCAGUGGGGAAUAUUGCACAAUGGGCGGAAGCCUGAUGCAGCAACGCCGCGUGCGGGAUGACGGCCUUCGGGUUGUAAACCGCUUUCGCCUGUGACGAAGCGUGAGUGACGGUAAUGGGUAAAGAAGCACCGGCUAACUACGUG